UAUCAAUAAGCGGAGGAAAAGAAACCAACAGGGAUUGCCCCAGUAACGGCGAGUGAAGCGGCAACAGCUCAAAUUUGAAAUCUGGCCCCUAGGGCCCGAGUUGUAAUUUGCAGAGGAUGCUUUUGGCGAGGUGCCUUCCGAGUUCCCUGGAACGGGACGCCAUAGAGGGUGAGAGCCCCGUCUGGUUGGAUACCGAGCCUCUGUAAAGCUCCUUCGACGAGUCGAGUAGUUUGGGAAUGCUGCUCUAAAUGGGAGGUAUAUGUCUUCUAAAGCUAAAUACCGGCCAGAGACCGAUAGCGCACAAGUAGAGUGAUCGAAAGAUGAAAAGCACUUUGAAAAGAGGGUUAAAUAGUACGUGAAAUUGUUGAAAGGGAAGCGCUUAUGACCAGACUUGGACCCGGUGAAUCAUCCAGCGUUCUCGCUGGUGCACUUUGCCGGGCUCAGGCCAGCAUCAGUUUGUCUCGGGGGAUAAAGGCUUAGGGAAUGUGGCUCCUCCGGGAGUGUUAUAGCCCUUUGCACAAUACCCUGGGGCGGACUGAGGUUCGCGCAUCUGCAAGGAUGCUGGCGUAAUGGUCAUCAGCGACCCGUCUUGAAACACGGACCAAGGAGUCGUCUUCGUAUGCGAGUGUUCGGGUGUAAAACCCCUACGCGUAAUGAAAGUGAACGCAGGUGAGAGCUUCGGCGCAUCAUCGACCGAUCCUGAUGUUCUCGGAUGGAUUUGAGUAAGAGCAUACGGGGCCGGACCCGAAAGAAGGUGAACUAUGCCUGUAUAGGGUGAAGCCAGAGGAAACUCUGGUGGAGGCUCGCAGCGGUUCUGACGUGCAAAUCGAUCGUCAAAUAUGGGCAUGGGGGCGAAAGACUAAUCGA
rnacentral:rRNA from 1 species